UACGUAGGGUCCGAGCGUUGUCCGGAAUUAUUGGGCGUAAAGAGCUCGUAGGCGGUCUGUUACGUCUGCUGUGAAAACCCGGGGCUUAACCCUGGGCUUGCAGUGGAUACGGGCAGACUAGAGGCAGGUAGGGGAGAAUGGAAUUCCCGGUGUAGCGGUGAAAUGCGCAGAUAAUCGGGAGGAACACCGGUGGCGAAGGCAGUUCUCUGGGCCUGACCUGACGCUGAGAGCGAAAGCGUGGGAGCGAACAGG
rnacentral:rRNA from 1 species